GGUUGAGGCUGCAGUGAGCCAUGGUCAUGCCACUGCACUCCAUCCUGGAUGACAAAGUGAGACCCUGUCUUAAAAAAAAAAAAUCUGAGGAUAGUUACAGAUUGAUUUGUUCCUCCUCCACUCCCACUGAUUCAUCUGACUAGCCUUAA
ensembl:misc_RNA Y_RNA Y RNA